UACGAAGGGGGCUAGCGUUGCUCGGAAUGACUGGGCGUAAAGGGCGCGUAGGCGGAUGGCACAGUCAGAUGUGAAAUUCCCGGGCUUAACCUGGGGGCUGCAUUUGAUACGUGUUGUCUAGAGUGAGGAAGAGGGUUGUGGAAUUCCCAGUGUAGAGGUGAAAUUCGUAGAUAUUAGGAAGAACACCAGUGGCGAAGGCGGCUCACUGGUCCGGUACUGACGCUGAGGUGCGAAAGCGUGGGGAGCAAACAGG
rnacentral:rRNA from 1 species